GCUAGCAGCCUUAUCGCCCUUAAAGAAAGGUCAGCCAGCAGCUUUAUCACCCCACAACUCAUAACUAGCAGCCCAAUGAAGCUCAGCAGGUGUGAGCCUGGUCAGUACCUAGAUGGGAGACCUCCUAGGAAAAACUAAGGUUGCUGCUAGAA
rnacentral:rRNA from 1 species